rnacentral:rRNA from 1 species
GAGUUUGAUCUUGGCUCAGAUUGAACGCUGGCGGCAUGCCUUACACAUGCAAGUCGAACGGCAGCAUGAUCUAGCUUGCUAGAUUGAUGGCGAGUGGCGAACGGGUGAGUAAUACAUCGGAACGUGCCCUGUAGUGGGGGAUAACUAGUCGAAAGAUUAGCUAAUACCGCAUACGACCUGAGGGUGAAAGUGGGGGACCGCAAGGCCUCAUGCUAUAGGAGCGGCCGAUGUCUGAUUAGCUAGUUGGUGGGUAAAGGCCCACCAAGGCGACGAUCAGUAGCUGGUCUGAGAGGACGAUCAGCCACACUGGGACUGAGACACGGCCCAGACUCCUACGGGAGGCAGCAGUGGGGAAUUUUGGACAAUGGGCGAAAGCCUGAUCCAGCAAUGCCGCGUGUGUGAAGAA